GGAGUUAUGGCUCAGUGGUAGAGCACUUGCCUGGCACGCAUGAAGCACUGGGUUUGAUCUUUAGCACCA
rnacentral:tRNA from 1 species